AUGGAACCGGUAGCCGAUGCCCUGUCUGGUACUAGCGCUGGCGGCGCCGCCGCCAAAGCUUCAGAUCUGGGAGAUUACAUGGAACAACUCAACCUGGAGGAGGAGGAUUUCGAUGAUUUGGUGAUCGAGGAGGAUGAUCCGGCUGUUAACGAGGGAGUACGCUGGCUAGCCCUAGCUAGGGUUCACACAGAGAAGAGUUUUAGUCCGACGGCGUUCUACAAAGAUAUGCGUGCGGCCUAGAAUACGGCGAAGCCCGUGAGGUUCAGACCCAUUGGACCGAACGUAUUCGUGGUGCAGGUGGAGUGCCUCGGAGAUUGGGAGCAUAUGGUGGAACAAGGGCCUUGGCUGUUCAGGAAUCUAGCGGUACUGAUGGCCCCGUACGAUGGUUUCACGAAGGCGGAAGAUGUGCCCAUGCUGUUCUUGCCGAUAUGGCUU
rnacentral:rRNA from 1 species